rnacentral:rRNA from 1 species
AACGAACGCUGGCGGCAUGCCUAACACAUGCAAGUCGAACGAGACCUUCGGGUCUAGUGGCGCACGGGUUCGUAACCCGUGGGAACCUGCCCUUAGGUUCGGAAUAACUCCCCGAAAGGGGUGCUAAUACCGGAUAAUGUCUUCGGCCCAAAGAUUUAUCGCCUUUGGAUGGUCCCGCGUUGGAUUAGCCAGUUCGUAGGGUAAAAGCUUACCAAGGCGACGAUCCAUAGCUGGUCUGAGAGGAUGAUCAGCCACACUGGGACUGAGACACGGCCCAGACUCCUACGGGAGGCAGCAGUGGGGAAUAUUGGACAAUGGGCGGAAGCCUGAUCCAGCAAUGCCGCGUGAGUGAUGAAGGCCUUAGGGUUGUAAAGCGCUUUUAACCGGGAUGAUAAUGACAGUACCGGGAGAAUAAGCCACGGCUAACUCCGUG